AUCCAGCUGAUGAGUCCCAAAUAGGACGAAAUGCACCUCCUGGAU
rfam:Trichobilharzia regenti genome assembly, scaffold: TRE_scaffold0019036